CCCGGCGUAGCUCGGUGGAUAGAGCGACAGAUUUCUAACCUGAAGGCCGCUGGUUCGAAUCCAGCCGCCGGGA
rnacentral:tRNA from 1 species